rnacentral:rRNA from 1 species
UACAGAGGGGGCAAGCGUUGUUCGGAAUUACUGGGCGUAAAGGGCGCGUAGGCGGCCUGUUAAGUCGAACGUGAAAUCCCCGGGCUCAGCCCGGGAACUGCGUCCGAUACUGGCAGGCUUGAAUCCGGGAGAGGGAUGUGGAAUUCCAGGUGUAGCGGUGAAAUGCGUAGAUAUCUGGAGGAACACCGGUGGCGAAGGCGGCAUCCUGGACCGGUAUUGACGCUGAGGCGCGAAAGCCAGGGGAGCAAACGGG